rnacentral:lncRNA from 1 species
CUUCAGAGUCCUCAGUGACAUCAUUUGCAGACAUAAGCUACCACUUCUAGCUUUAGGCACUUACUUUGUUCAAAGCUUUCUCAGUAUUGAAGUCAUUUUUUUCUUCUUUAUGGCACUAAUCUCAUCACAGGAUCAUUGAUCUAAGGCUGAUAAGGGUUUAACAGACCAUCUAGUUCCAUCCCCUUUUUUUUACCAAGGCUGACUUUGACCAAGGCUACAACAAUAACAGCCAUCAGAGGAUAUAAGGCAGCCUAUGAUGUUGUUCAGACCUGUCCAAUUCUUCAGGAUCCUAUUUUAGGGUUUUCUUGACAAAGAUAUUAGUCAUUUCCCAUUUCCUUAUCGAGAUCAAUCUAUAAAUGAAGAAACUGAGGCAAAUAGAGUCAAAUCGCUUGCCCAGAGUUCCACAGCUAUCUCAGGCCCUCAAUCCCAGGACAAUGUCUCCACCACUAGAAGAAUGACCUAUGAUGCAGAAGGAGUCAAAAUGAGGAGAGAUGGAGAAUGGAAUCAGAGAAUCUUCAAGUUACAAAAGCACGCAGCAGUAAGACAAAUGUUUAGGCUGGAGAGACAAUAUCAUCAAAUAGAGCUUUCAAUGAUCCAUGAUCACAGGAGCCAACAAGAAAUUAUUAUAAGUCCUGAAGGACUCAAGGAACAGGAUGGAUUAACCUAUCCUAUCAAUUGUUCAUGCUCUGUGAAUAUAUCAAGUUUUUUGGAAAAGAGGGAGCUUGUGUUAGCAAAGUCCUGACAAGAAGACAAGUACAUUACUAAUGGAGAAAUAAGUAAAAGACUUGCCAUGGAAUCUCUGGGUAACUUAGCAAAGUACAGUGUUAACUCAGGGAAGGAACCUUUUGUCAGUUCCGCCUCCUAUGCUUUCAGUCAUUCCCAUUUGGGAUGCCACCUUUGCCCUCCAACAUCCUGGUCCUUUUACCUGUUCAUCCCUUCUUCUUUGAGCUAUAUAAUUUGGCUGCUAUCAUUGUAGGGCAUGUUUUUUCCCCAGAAAGACUCAGGGACCAAUCGAAGGACUGGAAACUGGUGACAUUAACAUAUCCUGUGCAUAGACAUAUAGUUCAGAGUUGAAAGUAGACAUGGGACCUUUCGUGAAUCUCUGGCAGAGUUCCAGAGAUGGAUACCUUGCAAAGGGCUGACAGGAGGAGCUCUAAGAUGAGGAAGGUAGUUACUUGUAGGACUCUUCAUCUAUUUUAAUAUAUUAACCAUAAACACCUGCUAUUACAACCAUCAAGAUCACAGUGCCUUAUACUUAAUGGAUGCUCAAUAAGGGUAUGUUGACUGAUCUUCCAAAAACAGAGAUUUAACCAUGUCAUCUUCCCCCUCACUCAAAACUUUUCAGGGAACUCCAUUGCCACUAGGAUAAAAUGCAAAAUCCUCAGUCUGGUGUUCAAAACCUUCUGUAAUGUGGCUCCCACCCACCUACAUCCUUUCUGGUAUUAUUCAUAUUAUUCCUCCUCAUGCACUCUCUUUUCCAUUUUAAGGACUCUACUGGCUUUUCCCCAUUAAUGUCACAUAUUUCUUGCCUCUGGUCCUCUGUGAAGUCAGUGCUUAAAUCUAGAACUCCUUCUCUCCUCAUUUUCACCUCAAGAAUACCUAGCUUCCUUCAAAGCCCAGUUCAGGCAAAAUCUCCUACAGGAGCCCUUUCCUAAUCUCACAGCUAGUGAUUAGGUCUCUGCCUCUAUUGAAAUUACUUUUUUGGUCCUUUAUGUAUAUUUUGUAAUUGCUUAUUUUGGGGCAUGUCUUAUACUCCCUCACCUAAGCAGAAUGUAAGUUCCUUUGUUGUUGCUUUUAUUUUACCCCCCUAGCACCAACUACAGAGCUUUGCACAUAGUUGGUGCUUAAUAAAUGCUUUUCAAAUUGAUUUAAACA